UCUACGCUUUAGACAACUGUCCCAAAGACUUCCUUCCCUGUUCUCUGGUCGUUCCAACAGCCGAACAGCUGUGUAUAGGUGUAUAACGUGACCGUCCAUGAACGCUGCCUCUCAUCCGACGACCGUGCGAUGCUAACGGUGGUGUACGAACAAAAUUUUAAUAUAUUUAAUGAAUUAUCUAGUUAAAUAAUUAUUUAAAUGGGGCCGGAGUGACGCCUCCGCUUCAUUUCCGAACCAAGUCUGAACUCUAUUAUUCCCUCCCGCGCUUUCUAACCUACACACGACCUCAUCUCCCUCUCCCUCCUCCUCGUCGUCCACGGAUCCCAGACCCCGAUCCGCCCCAUACCUAUCAGCCAUCCCCCGCCACCACCUUGGGCGCCGUCGGAUCCCCUUCUUCCCGCUUCUUCCGCCGCUGGAAUCGGGCCAAGAACCAGGGUUUGGCCUCGGAUUCUUUCUUGGAGGACGACCGGGGGUUCCUUUUGUGAUUUGGUUUGUUUUGUGCUGGGAGGUCGAUGUCUGCCGGCCGAGCAGCUGGAAGCCGCACGCCGCAGCUGCCGAAGCGGUACCUUCCGUUCCCCUAUGCAACGCUACCGUUUUUUGCUCCAGAUGAAUACCACCGGCUCCCGGCCCCCGAUGGGCGUCGGAUCACCGGGGAUGAGCUGGCCGAUGCCCUAGUUAUUAAGACGCCUUGAACAAGAAGAUGAUGAGGCUGCAGAGUCAAGUGAGUGGAUGACGAAUCCUUUUAAUGCUGAAAGACAUAAUAAUCUUUUCUCACACCAAAAUCAGGAAACAGAAGAAAGAAAGCUGGCAGAUCCAAGGUUGCGAAGUACAAGAAGUCUUACCCUCAAGCCCCUAUGUCAAACCAUGGUGCAUAGGUUCACCCUUCCAUUAUCAUCAAAAUUUCAUACUAGUAAUCUCCACUAGGAAAAUUCACCCAUCAGUUACUUGCAUACAUGCACCUACCUAUCUUUGCAACUGGCUAAUGAGAUAUGCUGUUUCUUUGCCAAAUUUCAAGCUUAGAUAUGAUAAAUUCCCAAUUGAAGGGCUUGGCCUGCAUAUGAUCUACAUAUGCAAAUUUUAUCAGUAUCAUUGUGGUCCUGCAGGUUCACCUUCAUGCAACACCUUGACUUCAGUUGGUACUUGCCAUUAUGACAGCUCUCUAGGUGAUCAAAGUCAUGGCUAAUCUAGAAACUUCAGGCAAUAUACUGGAAAUUUUCUUUGCUUUUUGCUUCUGACAAUUGUGUUGUGUAAUUUCCUUUUCAGGACUCCUGACCAAAAAGUUCAUCAAUUUGCUUAAACAUGCAGAGGACAGCAUCCUUGAUUUAAAUAAUGUUGCGGAAACACUUGAGGUGCAGAAGAGGUGGCUAAUGUCCUUGUAGGGAUUGGACUUAUAGAAAAGAAACUCAAGAACAAAAUUCAUUGGAAGGAACAAGAGUCACAAGACAACACAAGACCAGGAGAAGUUGAUACUGAUAUCUCAGUACUACAGGUGGAUGUUGAAAAAUUUGCCCUGCAAGAGUGCGGUUUUGAUGAUUGUAUCAGCAAAUUUGUGAAAGACUGAGGGUCCUUAUUGAAGAUGAAAUCAAUCAAAAGUUGGUAUAUGUGACUGAAGAUGACAUCAAAGCUCCACCAUGCUUUCAGGAUGAAACAUUAAUAGCAGUAAAAGCACCUCAUAGUACUACCCUGGAAGUUCCAGACCCUGAUGAGGUGAGUAAUUAUCUGCAGAGAUACAUGAUUGUCCUAAGAAGCACAAUGGGCCCGAUAGAUGUUUAACUUGUUAGUCAAUUUGAGGUGAGUGGUGUUGAGCCAUCUCGAAGGCUCGUUUCUGGGAACUCUGGCGAACUCAGGGUCUGUUGCGAACCCAUGCUGGCAGAGUUACAACGGAAGAGAGCAGAGGGUUAAUCAAGAUAGUGACAUAAGUUCCUCGCAGGAUUUUGGCGGUGGUAUUAUGAAGAUAGUUCCCUCAGAUUUUGAUGUAAGUACAGUUUUUGGUUAUGGAGAUAUUAAGCCAUUAUAUCUGCAUAUGCAACUUAUCUCUGUGGUCUGCAUCAUGGACAUCACAAUAGACCAUUCAAUUAGGAUCCCUUCUACAGUAUAUGUAAUGACUAGCAAUUUAAAUAUAGUUUGACUAGAGUUGAAUCUGAC